UACGAAGGUGGCAAGCGUUACUCGGAAUUACUAGGCGUAAAGGGCAGGUAGGUGGUUCGGUAAGUUCGUUGUGGAAGCUCCCGGCUUAACUGGGAGAGGUCAACGAAUACUGCCGAGCUUGAGUGUAGGAGAGGGUACUGGAAUUCCCGGUGUAGCGGUGAAAUGCGCAGAGAUCGGGAGGAACACCAAUGGCGAAAGCAGGUACCUGGACUAUUACUGACACUAAGCUGCGAAAGCUAGGGGAGCAAAC
rnacentral:rRNA from 1 species